rnacentral:rRNA from 1 species
UACGAAGGGGGCUAGCGUUGCUCGGAAUCACUGGGCGUAAAGGGUGCGUAGGCGGGAUCUUAAGUCAGAGGUGAAAGCCUGGAGCUCAACUCCAGAACUGCCUUUGAUACUGGGAUUCUUGAGUUCGGAAGAGGUAAGUGGAACUGCGAGUGUAGAGGUGAAAUUCGUAGAUAUUCGCAAGAACACCAGUGGCGAAGGCGGCUUACUGGUCCGAUACUGACGCUGAGGCACGAAAGCGUGGGGAGCAAACAGGG